rnacentral:rRNA from 1 species
AGAAUGAACGCUGGCGGCAUGCCUAACACAUGCAAGUCGAACGAAGCCUUCGGGUUUAGUGGCGCACGGGUGCGUAACGCGUGGGAAUCUACCCCUUGGUUCGGAAUAACAGUUGGAAACGACUGCUAAUACCGGAUGAUGACGUAAGUCCAAAGAUUUAUCGCCGAGGGAUGAGCCCGCGUAGGAUUAGGUAGUUGGUGUGGUAAAGGCGCACCAAGCCGACGAUCCUUAGCUGGUCUGAGAGGAUGAUCAGCCACACUGGGACUGAGACACGGCCCAGACUCCUACGGGAGGCAGCAGUGGGGAAUAUUGGACAAUGGGCGAAAGCCUGAUCCAGCAAUGCCGCGUGAGUGAUGAAGGCCUUAGGGUUGUAAGCUCUUUUACCCGGGAUGAUAAUGACAGUACCGGGAGAAUAAGCUCCGGCUAACUCCGCGCCAGCAGCCGC